rnacentral:rRNA from 1 species
CUGGCGGCGUGCCUAACACAUGCAAGUCGAGCGAGGAGAUCCCUUCGGGGAUGAACCUAGCGGCGGACGGGUGAGUAACACGUGGGCAACCUGCCUUAUAGAGGGGAAUAGCUUCCGAAAGGAAGAUUAAUACCGCAUAACAUUACAUUUUCGCAUGAAGAAGUAAUUAAAGGAGUAAUCCGCUAUAAGAUGGGCCCGCGGCGCAUUAGCUAGUUGGUGAGGUAACGGCUCACCAAGGCGACGAUGCGUAGCCGACCUGAGAGGGUGAUCGGCCACAUUGGGACUGAGACACGGCCCAGACUCCUACGGGAGGCAGCAGUGGGGAAUAUUGCACAAUGGGGGAAACCCUGAUGCCAGCAACGCCGCGUGAGUGAUGAAGGUCUUCGGAUCGUAAAGCUCUGUCUUCAGGGACGAUAAUGACGGUACCUGAGGAGGAAGCCACGGCUAACUACGUGCCAGCCGCCGC